AUGGGACCAGCCAAAACCAGACACAAGACAGGGCCGGUGAUGUUCCCUCUCUGCAGGCAGCCCCUCCCCAGCGCUGCACGUGCCUGGAGCCCAGAGCCUGGCCUCCCUGGACAUCUGGACUCGGGGAGCCUCUGGCUGCAGGUGAGGAGCCUGGGUGUGACUGCUGCCUGGUGCUCUGAGGGAGUACACAGUAGAACCAUGAGUGAGCUUUGUGACCCCAAGGGCUUAGGCUCUGCCUUGUCUUACCAUGAGAUUGUUGCAGCCCUGUUGUUCCUCCUUCACGUGGACACUCUUGGCUCCUUCCCUCUGGUGUUCUGCUCCUUUCCAGCCCAGUGGCUGACAGGGGAUCAGCUGACCAAGAUCUGGGACCCUCCCCCCCACUCACAGUCUGAGCCCCUCCCUCCUUAGGGCAGAUGUACCCCAUGCUGCCCACCCUCCUGGAUGACGGUCUCUGCCCUCCACCCACCUGCUCUCCCUUUGGCUCUCACCCAUUUCCCUGCCAACACCUCCUGCCCCGACAAGUCCUAGGCAGCUCAUCCAGUGUCCCUGCUCCCAGGACCCUCCCCACAGGGACUUCCUCCUCCAUCCCUGCUCGGUUCUGGAUCCACACCCCAGUGCUGGCAUCUCCAGAAAUGACUGCACUUCCAAAACUCAGCCUCCAACAAUUGACCCCCAUUCCGUUUUGAAAAUGAUCACAGCUUCACUGACAUACAAUUCAUGGGUCAUACAAUCCUCAUGACAAAGCAUAUGAUCCCAUGAUUUUUUGUAAAUUCACGGAGAUGGGCGACUGUCACCAGAAUUGGUUUUAGAAUGUUUGUAUCUCCCCCAAACAAACCCUGUACCUGUUAGCAGUCAUGGUCCUUUUCCCUUCUCCCAGCCCCGGCAACCAGUAAUGUGCUUUCUGUCUCCCUAGGUCUGCCCAUUGUGGACAUUUCAUGCAAACAGAAUCCUAUGAGAGUGGCCUUCUGUGACUGGUUUCUUUCACUCAGGGUGAUGUUUUUGAGGCUCACCCACGUGGAUGGACCUGUCCAUGCUUUGUUCCUUUCUAGAGCUGAGUCACAUCCCGUGGUGUGGACACACCACACUGUUUACCCAGCUGUCCCUUGG
rnacentral:lncRNA from 1 species